rnacentral:lncRNA from 1 species
CCCGGUCCCCGGAUGAAAGGCAGGGGGCGGUCCAUGAAGCCAGCUCAAAGAGGCGGCAGAGGAGUAAGGAGUUCGGCGUCACCCGCCUCGUUAGGAGAGAACGGGAAAGGAAGAUAACUGUAUUCAUGAGUGAAGCAAAGGAAGAGACUCUAGAAAAAAGGUGGCCAAUUUCUUGACCAGUAAGGAGAGAAUAAAGAGAGAAAAAUAGAAAAAAAGUAAAGGCUUGGCAAGUACCAGAAGGCUCAUUGAGAUUUCCUGUGGUUUAUGACCCAAGUUGACAACUGUGACUUCUUCUUUGUGGCGUUCUGAUGGUUAUGUCGUAUAAGAAUCACCUUAUAUCAUUUGAGAAGCUGCUGACACGGAGCACUGGUUUGAUGGAUGACCUGAGCGGCUGCUGUUCCCAUCAGAGCGCACUUACACAUCCAUUAUUGUGUUGAAGACACCCACACAACUCCUCUGCUAUUGGGACGUCCCGAGCGCGCGGCAGUUUCAUAAAUGCCAGGUUCCGAGCAUUGCGUGGGAAAGUGCAGCGGCGCAGUAAAGCAUCGCCUGGCCUUUUGGCAAUCACCAGAUUAUUACAUUUUAAAGCAACCUGCAACCAGGAGAAUGUGGCACCUUACAAAAGGCAGCUUCCCCCAGCACCCACUAAAACAGCCUCGUAACAGAGUGGCAGAGCCCUUCUCCAUGCUGACAUCUCUUGGUCUACCCUAUUCAGGUAAUUUGGUGGCUAGUGUCACUGGGUGGGGUACUUCCCUGCGACAAGCUUCCCCAGGUCCUUUCUUAGGCAGCUUUGCAGCAAAGUGCCACCAUGAGGAUACCUGGCUCAACCAGCUAUUCCUAAUAAUCCAGAGGGAAAUUUUCCAAUGAAUCCUACCAACAUAGAACCUCAGGAAACAUCUUUGCUAUCCCUUGAGCUGUGGCUGUGCCCUCUAACUAGACCUGUAUUUUCGUUCUGGAGUCUGUUUGUGAGCUCUUUCUCACUCCCGGGGGUAGUGGCUGCUGCUUACAUCUGCUACUUUGUAUUCUUUAGACUUCUCUUUUCCUCUUAGCAGCCAGUGCCCCACUACUCCAGACUUUUGCUGAUAAUACCUCUGGUACAUUGAAUUAUGGCCCCCGAAGAGAGCCACAUUCUAGUCCCUGCAACCUGUGAUUAUGUUACCUUAUUCAAAACUCAUUAUCUGAGUGAAAUGGGACUCAGCAGAUGUGAUUAAGUUAAGAUUCUUGAGAGGGAGAAAUUAUCCUGGAUUAUCUAGGUGGAUCCUAAACAUAAUCACAAGUAGCCUAUGAGAGGUAAACAAAAGGAUAUUUGACUACAG